UAAUCUGGAUGGAAUAGCAUCAGCAUCUCC
rnacentral:piRNA from 1 species